AGCGUUGAAGUAAGGUGUUGCGCCAGCAUGCAGCUCCUUAUCAGUUCCAUAAGGGUUCGGCAUUUACCGCCAGCUGGCUAGGCAUUCGCCAAAAGAAAAUGU
rnacentral:sRNA from 1 species